rnacentral:rRNA from 2 species
GUGGUCAAGCUAAUAAGGGCUAAUGGUGGAUACCUAGGCACACAGAGGCGAAGAAGGACGUGGUUACCGACGAAAUGUUCCGGGGAGUUGGAAGCAAACUGAGAGCCGGAAAUAUCCGAAUGGGGCAACCCUAUGUACUACCUGUUGAAUAUAUAGACAGGAAAGAGCCAACCCAGCGAACUGAAACAUCUUAGUAGCUGGAGGAAGAGAAAUCAAAACAGAGAUUCCCUAAGUAGUGGUGAGCGAAAGGGGAAGAGCCUAAACCAGAGGAUUUAUCUUCUGGGGUCGUGGGACAGCAAUAUCGAAUCACUUAGGUUAGACGAAACAGCUAAAUACUGUACCAGAGGGGGUGAAAGUCCCGUAGUUGAAAGCCAAAGGAUAGUAGCUGAAUCCCGAGUAAUACGGAGCACGAGGAAUUCCGUAUGAAUCAGCGAGGACCACCUCGUAAGGCUAAAUACUACUGUGUGACCGAUAGUGAACAAGUACCGCGAGGGAAAGGUGAAAAGAACCCCGGAAGGGGAGUGAAAUAGAACAUGAAACCAUAAGCUUACAAGCAGUGGGAGUCCGAUUUAACGGAUGACCGCGUGCCUGUUGAAGAAUGAGCCGGCGACUUAUAGGCACUGGUAGGUUAAAGCGAGAAUGCUGGAGCCAAAGGGAAACCGAGUCUGAA